AACCUCUUUCCUUUAGAGAUUACCCAGUCUCAGAUAUGUCUUUAUUAGCAGAGUGAGAAUGGGCUAAUACAAUGAGAUAGAACUUAAAUCCCCUGCAUGCUCAUCAGAGGAGGCUCCAUAGAAGAUCAUGGACCUUGAACAAGGUGCAAGUAAGCCUAGAUGCAAUGCAAUGGAUUAGGGAUUCCAGGCUUGAAAACCAGUGGGAAGGAAGGGGUCAGGUGGGAGUGGUCCUCAGUUCCUGUGUGGGCUCUGGCAUCAGGCAGCACACAGGAGUCUUCCCUGCUGGUGGGGAGAGAAAGAGGCAGUAGAAGGGGUCCCGAGCUGGAAGGAUCAGCAGCCACUGCAGACUACUGAUGGAGGCAGUGCCAGGGAGGAAGAGGGUCGUGCCUAGUGGUGUCCAGGCAUUGGCAUGCAGGAGGCAGUCCAGGCACUGGUACCCGGGAGAGUUAAAACUGGGGGAAGGGAAGACAGCAGGGGAUUCUCACAAGGAAUGUGGAGCAGAGGCCCAGGCAGGGGGCCAUCAAGGUGGAGAGGACUGAACCUGGAAAUGGAAGCUUUCCAAGUCACACAUUGAAGAGUAUCAGCAAGGUCUUAAGCCCUGGAACAGUGAGGGAUGGCAUCAGGACAAACUGAGGUCAGUGAGUGUGUUGGCAGCGGACCAGGCUCCGAACGGCACAAACUCCGUCUGGGAUGGGGAAUCUAGCAGAAGACCUAGGAAGAAUUUGAAGAGGGUUCAGAGGUGAAUUAGGGAUGCUUGUAGCUUUUGUGUGGGCAGUGCGUUACUGGGGUGUAGUCCUCAUUGAAGGCCCAAGAUUCUGCCUCUAAGGGUGUAACUCUGCUGAAUCCAGCACCUGAGAGGCUGUCCAGAGCAGGCAGGAGGUCAGCUGUCAGGCUGUGGGCCCAGUUUUAGAGUCAAAUUGAAUUUCCAGUGGGGAAGACCAAAGCUGAAGUCCAUCCCCCAGAGGAUGAGAGAAAGGAAGGCUGCAGCUCAGGCAGCUCAGGGAGUCUGAGGCAGCAAACGAGCUCUGGACCUUGAAGUGGGGAGAGGAAGUCCUUUCACCUCAUCACAGUGCUCACAUCACCUCAGAAACCAGGUGGGACACACAGCUGUGACAGGUGAGAGAUGAUUCCAUUGGUGCCUGGGAUACCAGAUUCAUGCUGGGAAGUAGGAUGGAUGUGGUGGUUUGCAAAAGGCUUUGUCUGCUAAAUUGAGGAUACUGGAUCAUACCCCAAGAGAAAGGGGAGCUCCAAUGGAAAAGCCACCUGCAUCAUGAUGCUGCCUGUCACUUGACUGAGCGUUCCUGCUGCCCAGAAGCUCCUGUUGUCCUCCCAACUGACGGGAUGCUCUUGGACAGUGAUGCCAGCUGGAAUUAAGACUGGGUUUCCAAGGCCACUGUGACCACCAUGAUUAAUCAAUCCCUACUGCUAGGGCUCCAACAUGCCUCAGCCAGAAAGCUGUCAUCUCUUUCCUGGGAACAUUCCUUAAGAAAGAACCAUCAUGGGGUUGGAUGAAACUAAACUUGCAAAGAAGGUGAUGUGUAACCAAGUUGGAGUGUGGAGUGUGGGGUCAAAGAUGAUGGCAUUCUGUGUGGAUCCGCAGUGGUAGGAAUGGAGGUGAGGAGGAAGAAAUGAAUCCAGGAGGCAGCGUGACAGAAAACACAGACUUUGGUGACGACAUGUGAGAAGCUGUAAACUGAUAAGAAGAAAAGACGUCUCCAGCACGUUUGGGUUAGUGUCAUCAACCCAUGGAUCCUGCCCACAGCAAGACUUGGCCCAGUCACAACCCCCUUUCUAGCAAUGUGGAGAUAAAUGUCUUCAACAGAAAGGGUUGGGAAUCCCAUGUGACAGCCGAGCUCUGUUCUGCCUUUGACAGAGUCUGAUGCGAAGUGGAUCAUCUCAGGGAUGUGCCUUGCUGGCUUCACCCACCUGGAGCCUCAGGGGAAGUCUCAGGUGGGAGAUGUUAAUUUGAGAGGCCUGGGUAUAAAAGUAAUCCCAAGAUGUCACAAGAUAGAAUACUUUCUCUGAGGCACAAACAGGGAGAAAAACAAGAACAGAACCCCUUAGCAGGACACUCAUAAUAAGAAGAAUUAGGAAAAGAAAAGGGAACCCGGGGUGACACAAAACUGGGGGAGUCUGUUACCACAAGGUAGAUGGCUACCUCCAGUUGGACAAAUUUCCAUGGACCACCAUGCAAUUUCUGGAGAUGCCGCCUUUGAUCCCCUCUUCUCCCUUUGCUCCUCCCUCAUCUCCACACUCAAAGUGCACAUUAUUCAGAUGUCCAGCACGCCCCUAAAUCAACUUGACUUCUCUUGUUCCUUGGCAGAUUCAAGGACCAGCCUUCAUUGGAUUUGGGGUGGAAGCUACAUGCUUGUGUCAAGGGUUGUAAUCCCAAGUCUGGUCCUGUUUUCUGCAAACAAUAUCAUUGUAAACACAUUGAAUGUGUCUGAAUGGGAUUCACAUAACCUAUUCAAAGGUUAAUAUCACAAGACUGAUACUGAGCUGGAAGCUCUGAAAUGUACUUGUGCUCAGGGAAGAUAUUUGCUAAUGUUUGGCUUUAAUUUCCCCUGGAACUUGUACACAUCAGUGAGGCCUGGGGAUAAUGAAUAACAGCAUGGACAAUAAAUUUUAAAACAAACAAAAUAAAAACUCAAAGAACAUUAAUGCAGACCAGUGCUGGGAUAUGAUGUGUGUUACAAGAGAGUAAUGAUUACUCUUGGUGAGCAGAUUCUAUUAUCUGCUUCUUAGGAGCAAUAGGUGGCUGCCUCUUGAUUGUAUUAGUCCUGGAGUUAUAAAAUCCUCAGUCCUUUACAAUGCAAAAGUGACACAUGGGGCGAGUAAGCAGGUAAGAGAAGGAGCAAUUGGAGGAAGAGAAAUGAGAUCUGUGGCAGGGGCUAUUGGCUUUCCACUAAAACCCAUUCUCUACUUCUUGCUGGGCAAGAACUAGGCAGUAUUUACCAGCCCCUCUUGCAUUUGGGGUGGCCACAAACGAAUUCUGGCCAGUGGAGUGAGGGGCUUCUCAGACAGCAGCCUGCCCCUUCCACACUCCUGUUCCCCUUGCAGUGGCUCAAAGCCCUUGGGUGAUGAUGGAGCCAUAGCUGGAAGAAGCCUGGGUCCCUGGGUCCCCCGUGGAGCCUCCACGCGGGAAGGUGGUCUAGAAAUACACUUCCAUAUUUCAGCCAGCAUGCCUUGGGAUCUUUUUUUAAUGGUGGUUCAGCCUACCCUAACUAAAGCUGGGCCCACUCAGCACGCCCCACACAGGGAUUCUGAAAUGGGAGCAGGGUCCACCAAAACUCUGCUUUUCAGAGAGCUCACACCCUAGGGGAGUAUAAAAGUGACGAGGACACUGGAGCUGGCAGGCAAGACCCAGGAUGCCAAAAUUAGGGCCCCUAAACACAGCAGGGAGGGUGAGCUAUCCUCUUGUGAGGUGGGAGGAGGGUCUCCGUGAGCAGGGCUCUUCUUGGGCCAAACCUGGAUCAUGAGGAGGAGGGAGAGAUGCUGAAUAUGACAUGUCAUUCAAAGUGCUGUCUGGAAAUUUGAGUUCGUUUCUUCAGUAGAGGCAGCACAGGUUAAUCAGACAAACCAGCCAUCAACAGGCUUCCUUUGAGGAGCUUGGUAAGAAUGGAAAACCCAGGGCUGAGGGGCUUACAGAGCUUACAGAGCAGCACAGUAUCAGGGGCCCAAGGCACCAGGAGCUCCUCUGGAAAUUGGCGGGAACAGCUGGAGCAAAGCCGAGGUGAUGGUACCCCUGGUGGCGGGACGGCAGCGACCCUCCAUGGUAUAAGGAGUGGUGAGACCCCAAGGGACAGUGUGCAAGGACUCUGAUGGCAGCAACACUCCUCUAGGAGCUGAUGAGAAAGGCCUGGAAUCCCAAGAUGCACCCCUGAGGUUCAACUCCUACCCUGAUCAUCUCCUCCAAGAUUCUGUGACCUGGGGAAGUCAACAGUACAUUUCAACACCUAUGAUGUCAGCAUGUGAAUGACAUUCCAAUGCUGCUCAUGGGGUCACCCCUGCAAAGGUGAACUCAGUGGAAAGACCUUGCCAAACCGGAAGGAAAACAGGAUACUUUUCUCCAAAA
rnacentral:lncRNA from 1 species